UACAACAUAGUGUUAAUGCAUCACAUCCCAUUAGAACUCCAUAGUUAAGCGUGCUCAGGCUAGAUUAGUACCAGGAUGGGUGACUGCCGGGGAAGUCCUAGUGUUUUAA
rfam:Picea glauca, whole genome shotgun sequence.